GCGGGGGUGCCGGAGUGGUCAAACGGGCACGGUUGAGGGCCGUGUGGCUUAGUGCCUGCGCGAGUUCAAAUGUUAAACUGUUUUUUAUGAAUUCAGUUUUGCUGAAUGCCUCGUCCCCCGCA
rnacentral:tRNA from 1 species